rnacentral:lncRNA from 1 species
UCCUUUUGUAUAUUUUGGUAUGCAUGGAGAGGUGUUUAUUGCCUGAACAUGGAGCCCAAAUUACCUGCCCCCACCCCCCACACUGGUCAGCACUGGAGCUCUGGUGCCAAGCUGACCUCUGGGAUCAUUUUGUGGAUUCUCAAGGGCUGUGAGGGGAAAACAUUUCAAAUUAGGCAGGAUGCCCAGUAACUAGGAGCACUUGGAAUCUCCAGCCUCACAAACACAACCACGUCUAAAUGAGAUUCAAAGAGAGGAAAAAUUACCCUCCAUGAAUAUCCCUUGAAAUUGCCCAGCAGAGAAUACUCUGGAGCGGCACGUGGAUGCAUCCCGAGUUCUUUGGAAGGAGGAUGUGAAGAGUGCCCAGGCUGGCACCCCCUGGAUAGUAUAGCACAGGCAGUGUGGAGCCUGAUGAAGCACAGGCAGGCGCGAUGUGGACAGCAGCACGGACGUCCGGCCGCCCAAGUGUCCCCUCGCCUUUCAACCGCAAAUCCCACUGUCAAUGCUGCAGACAGACACGGUUCACUCCAUAAGAUCACCCGUGAAAUGGGAGCGCCUGACCACAUGCCUGGAAAUGUGAAAGGAUAAUUCUCACCACUGUGAGCGGCUCCUAGCACUGUUCAUGGGAACCAUUUGCCUGUAAACACAGACGUUAGAACACAUCCUUCUUGGCAUAUGGCAGGGUAUCAAUCAGCAAAUCAGUCAAAAUACAGAAUUCUAAGGAUAAAUGAAUAAGAUCAUGGAGGCUUG